AUUGAACGCUGGCGGCAGGCUUAACACAUGCAAGUCGAGCGGGGUGAUGGUGCUUGCACUAUCACUUAGCGGCGGACGGGUGAGUAAUGCUUAGGAAUCUGCCUAUUAGUGGGGGACAACAUCUCGAAAGGGAUGCUAAUACCGCAUACGUCCUACGGGAGAAAGCAGGGGAUCACUUGUGACCUUGCGCUAAUAGAUGAGCCUAAGUCGGAUUAGCUAGUUGGUGGGGUAAAGGCCUACCAAGGCGACGAUCUGUAGCGGGUCUGAGAGGAUGAUCCGCCACACGUGGACUGGGACACGGCCCAGACGCCUACGGGAGGCAGCAGUGGGGAAUAUUUGACAAUGGGGGGAACCCUGAUCCAGCCAUGCCGCGUGUGUGAAGAAGGCCUUAUGGUUGUAAAGCACUUUAAGCGAGGAGGAGGCUCUUUUGGUUAAUACCCAAGAUGAGUGGACGUUACUCGCAGAAUAAGCACCGGCUAACUCUGUGCCAGCAGCCGCCGUAA
rnacentral:rRNA from 1 species